GCCCGUAGAAAUGGCACGUUGAAUGCACCAGUUCACAAUGGUUUACUGAAGUUAACCAACGUUGCGCGUGGUUGGUAUCCGGAUGGGUGACCAUCGGGGCAAUCACGUUUGCUGGCA
rnacentral:rRNA from 1 species